rnacentral:misc_RNA from 1 species
UCCUUCAGUCUUUCUCCAAGUCCUCCAU